GGAACAGCCAUGGGCUUUCCUCCAUGAGGAAUCAAAGAGGCCUAAGAUGAGUCACUGAGGAGAAGGACAAGCUGUUAUUCAUCCAUAUCACAAUUGAAAUAUGAUGGGAAGUGUUCUCGUGCAAGCCAACAUGUAUCCUGAAAAGAAACAAGACUGACAGAGCUUCAAAAUUUCAAAAAGAAACCAAAACCCCUGAUGGUCAAAUUAUGAAGGGAGCCGUGGGAGCCCAUUUGUAAGUACGGAGCAUCGUAAGUCGGGCCAUCUGUAACGCAGGGACUGUCUGUACAUCAGUUCUGAAAUGUAUGUGGAAGAGCCUAGGUAAUUUGGAAGAUGAGCACCACGGUGGACGUGCCCAACCAGAGUUACUGUAAAGCAGAGGAAGACAUUGAAGUCAAGGCGCAGAGACAGAGAAGCAGAAGGAAAGUGAGAUCCCAGAAAUGGACCUGCACGUAAAUGGAAAGCUGCCAGGAACGAGAUUGGAAACCGACCUUGAGGAAAAACAGAUCGAGAGUCUGGACAGGGCCAGCUGCAGGCUACUGAUGACAAGAUCUGCCAGAUGACCUAGUGCUUGCUGAUAACCCUCACAAAGCUUGCUGUCUGCCACCACGCUGCCCCUUCCCUUUUUAAGCUGCUCAGCAAGCAGAGGG